rnacentral:rRNA from 4 species
AGGCCUCAAAUAAUGUGUGACU